UCGAGGAUCUUCGGCAAUGCGCGCAAGCGCGACCGAGCGACGCCGCGUGGGCGACGAAGGCCUUCGGGUUGUAAAGCCCUGUCGAGGGGGAGGAAACCGGGAAACCGGCUGACCCAUCCCUGGAGGAAGCUCGGGCUAAGUUCGUGCCAGCAGCCGCGGUAAGACGAACCGAGCGAACGUUGUUCGGAAUCACUGGGCUUAAAGGGCGCGUAGGCGGGCUGGACAGUCCGGGGUGAAAUCCCCCCGCUCAACGGGGGAACGGCCUCGGAUACUUUCGGCCUGGAGGGGGGUAGGGGCGGGCGGAACUGUGGGUGGAGCGGUGAAAUGCGUUGAGAUCCACAGGAACUCCGGUGGCGAAGGCGGCCCGCUGGACCCUUACUGACGCUGAGGCGCGAAAGCCAGGGGAGCGAACG
rnacentral:rRNA from 1 species